AUAUGACAACCUAUUUCAGCCUAGAUAGUGACUUCGUGUUGGGGUGACACUCCCAUGCAGGGUGACAGAUGUGUUCUCAUGGCCCACCUUCGCUAGGAACAGCACCACACGUACAAGCUGAGAUCCAUGAAGUGUUAUUUUGGUCACAAAUCCAGCUCAGUCCACUCUGCCACCUGCAAGUCAACCUUGGCAGGCAGGUGUGACAAGAACACUGGGCUUCCUGCACAAGAGUAAAGUGGAUGAAUUGGCCCCGUUCUGGCGUUGGCCGUGGGGCGCAGGGCUGGGGCGUGGUGCUUGGGGUGCCCUGGCUGGUGGGUACUGCAGAGGUAGGGGUUGCCUUGCCAGUACUGCCACUCAGGGACGGAG